GGAGGGUGCAAGCGUUGUUCGGAAUUACUGGGCGUAAAGGGCGUGUAGGCGGCUAGGCAAGUCAGAUGUGAAAUACCUUGGCUCAACCAAGGAAGUGCAUUUGAAACUGCUUAACUAGAGUACAGGAGGGGAAAGUGGAAUUCCCAGUGUAGAGGUGAAAUUCAUAGAUAUUGGGAGGAACACCGGUAGCGAAGGCGGCUUUCUGGCCUGAUACUGACGCUGAGACGCGAAAGCGUGGGGAGCAAACAGGGAUUAGAUACCCUGGUAGUCCACGCCGUAAACGAUGUGCACUAGGUGUAGGAAGUGUUGACCCCUUUCUGUGCCGAAGCUAACGCAUUAAGUGCACCGCCUGGGGAGUACGGUCGCAAGGCUA
rnacentral:rRNA from 1 species